rnacentral:snoRNA from 1 species
ACUCCCAUGAUGUGGACACUUCUGCAGCAUAUUUUUAAAUCUAUUCCAAACUUCAUCGAAGUUCUCUGAAUUGCCUUGACGAAAAACAAAUAUGUCAUGCUUGAGCUU